rnacentral:lncRNA from 1 species
CUCAGUUUCCUUAUCUAUUCUGGUACAGAAAGUGAAAACAUUUUCUCAUGUGUAUCUACAAUGAUAGCUGGAAGUUUGUGGGAAGGAAGGCAGGGAAAAAUGACAGAUUCAUCAUAACUCUUGAUAACAGGAAGGUGAAGAAGAUAAUGAGGAGAGAAAGAAGCAGGAAACAGGAGAGUCUACACUGGGGUAGACCUUUGACAGUCGUUCACUGGACACAUUAAUGAAUUGCAACUUCAGAGCAUUAGACUGAAAGUUCUCAGAGAGAAGCAAGACAUAAUAGCUAUCAGAUACCCAAAGCUGUGAGACAGACCACCCCGAAGAACCUACCAAAGAUUUUUAGCAGAAAAGUAGUUACAUGACUCUUGUGCUAUUACCCCAUCAAGGGUCCAGAGAUGCCACACUCUUGGAAGCUUUUGAAGAGGAUUUCCUUGGAGGAAGUGAUGAGUGUAAGUGCCACCCGCGGCCCCAGGGCUUAAGGGAUGUGGGUAUCCACCUCAUCUCACUGCAACAAGACCACUCAGAGCGUGAGCUGUGUCUCCUGCAGUUAUGGGCCCUGGGGACUGGGUCUGACUCCUUUCCCUAAUUUACAGGAAAAGAGCAGGACUGGCUGAUGCUUUGGCAACAAAUCAAAGGAGGUUGCUGCUGCUCCCAGAUUGGCCAACACUCCUAGAGUUCCAAGGAGUGUUCCAAGGAGUGGAUAGAGCCAGUAUGGGAGGCGUCUUAGAUCUGCUUAGAGGGAGUUCAAAGAGGCCCCAGAUGAGGAGAAGCUGGGUGAGGGCUGCAGCAUUUUCUAGAAACUCCUGCCUGAAUAGAAUGUUUUUGCUCAGGUUAAGGGACCGUCUAAAGUGAGAAACCACCAGGGCUGGGGAAGGGCGAAGAUCUUUGAGGAACUUGAAAUAAUAUUAUAUAGGAGAAAAUCAGUUUCAGACAACUGCCAGGCCUGGAGAGGAUGAACCCAUCUCACCAGGGGCCCAAUCAAGCAGGCCCUCUAUGCCCACUUUUCCUCUCCUCCUCUCUUUCUCCAGGAGGGGUCAGAAACCCCAUUUAGGAAGACAGGAGUGUAACAGGAAGGAAGGAGAAGAUUUAGAUUCUGGUUUCCCAGCCGUUGAAAGCCCCCUGAACGAGGAAUUUCGUGAGCAUCCCAAAGGGCCAGGGGCAACUCUCCUCCAUCAUGACAGACAUGGUUCUGAAAACCAAAGACUUAGCCCCUUGUGGGGCAUUUUUCCUUUCUUCUUGUCUUUGUCCACCUGUCUGGAAACAUUUCUGCUUCUGAUGCUAUCACUCCCAUCUUGCAGCUGAGGCAAAACCUCCUGCCUGGCUGAGCUUCUUUUUGUGUUAGAAAUGAUAAGGAACAGCUGUCCUCGGAUUAAUGCCAUCACCCCUGUUAUGAUUCAGCCAUUCAGCUUGUGGCAGCAAUUACGUGUUAGAUGAAUGUCUUUCUAAAUUCAAUCACCCCAAAAUAAAUACACUGCAGUAGCCUCAUUAAACAAAAUUGGAUGCAAGGAGAGGAUGGGGCUGACUGAUAGGAAAUGAGAAAGAAGUAGAAUAUUUCAAAACUGCACGCAUUCAAUUGCCCUUCAGAAACCUCUUCUAGGACCUUGUUCAGCUUUAGAACACUUAAGUUGUUUUUUUUUUUUUUUAAAGAUGCUUGUGUAUGUGGUACCACUUUCCAAAAGGAGACCUUUUUAAAAAAAUAGCAUAUGAUAAAAUAAUAUAUAUAUUCAUAUUAAGAGAUCAUCAUAUAAAAUAGGCUCCGAUGUUUGGCAGAAACCAACAAAAUUCCGUAAAGCAAUCAUCCUUCAAUUAAAAAUAAAUUUUAAAAAAUAAAAAAUAAAAUAGGCAAAUAUGCAGAUGUUUUUAUAUACAGCAUCUUAUAUAGGAUAUUUAGCAUACCUUAGGCAGCUUGUUCAGCGAUCAUUCAAAUAUUUGAAAGUUUAGCCUCGAGUUUGCUGAGAAUGUGUUAAAUUCAAUCUAUUCAUGUGUUCAUUCAUCCAACAUAUACUUGCUGAGACCUACUCUGUGCUAUGUCCUGUGCUCUUUAUUAGUGGACCACCAUCUACUAGACAGUCUCUGUUGGGAAAGCUGCUUAGAAUAGGGUGUGGGAUCGGAUAGAAACCCAUAACAAUAUUGAAAGAUUCAACAUGCUAAGUGCCAUAAGAAAGAUGCGGAAAGACCCAUGAGGGUUUAGAAGAGGAAGUGGUUGUUUAUUAAGAAAUAGAAAAUCUUUAGGCCGAAGGCAGCAUUUGGGCUGACCUUGAAGUCUCUGAACAGUUUUAAAAUUGAGGGCUUUUUUUCAGAAAGAGAGAAACAAAGAUCCUAUUAAUGUGUGUGUGUGUAUAUAUAUAUAUAUAUAUAUGAUUAAAAAAAAGUGGUACAGAUUAACCUGUUUGCAGGGCAGGAAUAGAGAUACGGACAUAGAGAACAAACAUGUGAACACAAGUGGGGAAGGGGAGGGUGGGAUGAAUUGGGAGAGUGAGGUUAACAUAUAUACACUACCAUGUGUAAAAUAGAUAGCUAGUAGGAAGCUG